ACGCAAUAGAUACCCGGGUAGUCCAUGCCGUAAACGUUGGGAACUAGGUGUGGGUCUCAUUCCACGAGAUCCGUGCCGCAGCUAACGCAUUAAGUUCCCCGCCUGGGGAGUACGGCCGCAAGGCUAAAACUCAAAGGAAUUGACGGGGGCCCGCACAAGCGGCGGAGCAUGCGGAUUAACUCGAUGCAACGCGAAGAACCUUACCAAGGCUUGACAUACACCGGAAUCACUCAGAGAUGGGUGCGUCUUCGGACUGGUGUACAGGUGGUGCAUGGUUGUCGUCAGCUCGUGUCGUGAGAUGUUGGGUUAAGUCCCGCAACGAGCGCAACCCUCGUUCUAUGUUGCCAGCACGUCAUGGUGGGGACUCAUAGGAGACUGCCGGGGUCAACUCGGAGGAAGUGGGGAUGACGUCAAAUCAUCAUGCCCCUUAUGUCUUGGGCUUCACGCAUGCUACAAUGGCCGGUACAAAGGGCUGCGAAACCGCGAGGUGGAGCGAAUCCCAAAAAACGGUCUCAGUUCGGA
rnacentral:rRNA from 1 species